rnacentral:lncRNA from 1 species
UCGCGUUGAAAGGCAUGUUGUUACUUUUUUGUCCCAGGCUAAGGAAGAGCAACAGGUAUGAUUCUCUUUGUAAACUCCCACAUCAUUUGUUCUUCAUAAGGUGAUUUACUUAUACUUUGUUAAAGUAAAUUAAAAGAUUUGGUUUCUUUGACCCCUUACUACUUGCUUUUGAACUGAAUGAAGUAAUAUUUGACUGAAGACCGGCUUGUGUGGUUGAUGUGCUAUAUUUCUGUGCGAUACAGUGUGUUAAUUACUGUUCCUUGAUAUGCUUGAGAUGCAAAGUUUUCCUCGAAUAUGACUGAAAGUGUUGAUGUAGUGCUGGACGUGGUAACUAUCUAAAGGCUUAGCCGUUCACAGUUUUUUUUUUUGAAAUAACCAUUUGCAGACUAUUUAAUAGCACAACAGAAUGGAAUUUGUAUCUCUCGUUGAUACUGAGUAGAAAUCGUAUUCUUAUCGAUUAAGGUAUUAGAAAAAGGAAACUGAACCAACUCUGCGUGAACCAUGUAUAUCAAUUCUAAUGGGAUGGUAUAGGCCCUAGGGUUGUGAUGCUGGACCAUUUUUGUCACCUAGAAAACUACCGGUUUGUAUCAUUUUUCUCAAGUGAAACAUCCUGUACAUGUGACCUACAUAUAACACUAACGGGCUAUUGGCUAGGUCUUGUCGCCGGCGAACUUCAAUCUCGUUGCCGGCAACCACACAAUUGAUCCACGAUGAACCACCGCUCCUCUUCUCUAUUUUGUUCGUCUCCUUGAUCCAGGAUGUAGAUUGAGGCGCUACUGCAGUUGCAGCGCGGACUACUUGGCGCGGUGGUUCUCAUGUGAGCUGAGCUAGAGUAGGAGACAUGGAUUAAUCCCUUCAUAUUCUCUCAUCAUUUUCUCCAUUCUCCUCUUGGCAGUAUAUAUGCGUGUUAAGUUGAUUUAUUUAGUUCCUCUGUAAAAUGUAUUCAAAGGUAACGUGCUAGUUUUAAACUUUGAUUUCUGAAGCGUCUAUUUUUACAAUGAAUCACUAAGUAUGUGUCGGGGAAACUGAUCCACGAACACCUAUGGGACCGGCGGACCGAGCCCCUUUUGGUUCGGCGGGGGGCGGAGAUCGCACGAAGAGCGGAUCGAGGCGAAGCACACGAGCAGUUUACCCAGCUUCGGAGCUCUCCGGAGAGAUAACACUCCUACUGCUGCAUGUCUGAGUGUAUUGAGUUCUUGCUCGGGAGCGCUGAGUGCUACAGUACACACUAGCUGCUAACGAGACCGAGCGUGAGUGUUUUUCUGCCUUCGAACCCCCCUCUACGUUGCGCAUGGGCCUCCUUUUAUAUGCUAAAGGGGUCUCCGACAGGUGGCAACGUAGACAAGGGUAAAAAUGGAAAAGGAAUUGCGAUUGGUACAACUACCUGUACAGUGUAUCAUACCUAACCCUGACGGCAGGGGACAAAGGCAUUAAAUGCUCGUCUGCGUCGCUCAAAUAGUGCAAAAAGAGACCGUCAGGGACGCCACCGCUCGCCACGAUGGCAGUCUUGUCAGCGUCGCUUGCCACCGCGCACCGCUGGCUGCAUAGCCUCUUGCCACACGCGCCUGGAAAGGCCGCAGGGCGACACGUUGGUGGGUGUGCUGGAGCGCGGGUACAGAGUGGUAGCUUGCCGCGGCAAGCGCUUUGCCGCGGUCGUUGUCUUGUUGCGUCCGGAAGCUUGUCGCUCACCGGGCCUUGCCGGGACGCGUGGCGCGUCGCGGCAAGUUCCUUGAGAUGCCUUGGUUGGCUUUCCCGGCAAGCUCCUCUUGCCGGGGCCUUGUCUCCUUGGCUUGAAUACUUUGUUCUUGAAUGACUCCAAAGGAACCACGGAGGACCUUGGCGGUCACUCGGCAAGCCUUGCCGCGGGGUGCUGCGACUGCCCGUGCACAAGUUCGGAAUACUAGGGUACCCCUACUCUAGUACACCGACAGUAUGUAACUGUAAUUAUAAUUUAGUAAUUAGUACAUAUCCUCGUACAUAAUUUCUGUUGUAUGGAUUAUUUACAGAAUGUGGAUCAUAGGGUUACCAUUUCAAACUUCAUCGAUCUCUCUUUUGAUUUUGUAGGGGUUAGAGCAUACGUUAUUUUCCAGGGUGCUGCAACUGCCCGUGCACAAGUUCGGGAUACUAGGAUACCCCUACUCUAGUACACCGACAAUAUGUAACUGUAAUUAUAAUUUAGUAAUUAGUACAUAUCCUCGUACAUAAUUUCUGUUGUAUGGAUUAUUUACAGAAUGUGGAUCAUAGAGUUACCAUUUCAAACUUCAUCGAUCUCUCUUUUGAUUUUGUAGGGGUUAGAGCAUACGUUAUUUUCUUCAGUGGACAUUCAACCCAACUUAAAAUAUUGUUCCUUCAACACUUCCGUAGCAUGCAUGAUCAAUCAGUGAAGAAAAUUACGAAGGUAGAUGUUAAUCUUAGAGGAUUAGAUGUGCCUUUACCUUCUCAACUUUCUCGGUCAAUUAAACAUCCCAAGCCCAUCAUCAGGCACAAUUUAUAGCAUAGUUUUGUGUGACGAAGCUGAGAUUAUUAUUUUUUGAGAUUGAAUCUAAACAUAAGUCUUGUGCCACAUAUUUGGUCUAUAAUCUUUGGGUUUCUUAAGAUUUCUCAUCCAAUGAGUAGUGAGGGGUCUCACCAUCUGGAGUACUGAUUCAUGAAUUUCCUGGACAAAAUCAUUCUACUGGGUUUAACCUUGUUGGUGUCGGGGCAUCAAUGCCAGGGUGGGGUGUGGCAGAGAAUAAUGGCUGGCUAAUGGAGAAUGGUUGGAUCUGAGGCACAUGACAAAGAGGGCACUGCGUCUAUGGUCCAUGAGAGGCAUGGGUAACGGAGGCAGAUUCAUAUGAGGAGAUCAUGGGAUAAAUAAAUAACAGCAAAAUGUGAGCAGCGUGUGCAGGCGGCCUCUGAGUUGUUGCCCUCAUUGCUAGUGAUGCUGGAUUCCUACCAAAUGUAAGUGCUGAUGAUAAGCAUCAUUCCUAAUGCAUAUUAUGCCUUGUAAUUCCUCCAUGUAGCAAUGUAAAGUAUUUAUUAUUUGUUGUUACCAUGUCCUAGCAAAAAGGCAUUAAUUUGUUAAUUUUAAUUUGGUUCAUAUGUGUCAGUCGACAUACAAUGUUUUUGUAUAUGUGUUGUAGGUGGUGCAUAUGAUAUUGAAGAUCUAUACGUGAUUACUGGAAAGGUUGUGUGAGAUAUACAUGGUUUAAUACCCAGAACAAUAAACUGACAAAAGUGCAUGUCUUUCAAAAAAUUACAAUGUGAACUACUUUUGAUAGUGCUAACAUUCACACCCUUGUAAUCAACUCCCUCCAUCCCAUACUAUAAGAUCAUUUUGCAAGCUAUUUUAGCCUAUAAAAUGAUCUUAUAUUACGGGAUGGAGGGAGUAAUAAAAUAUCCUUCUUGCCAUGGACAUUCUCAAGCAGUGUUACUAUAUCUUCGUAAAUAUCCUUCUUAUCAUGGACGUUGUCAAGUAGUGCUGAUGUAUCUUUGUAAAUACAUAUAGUCUGCCUUAUUAUUAAAUGAUAAGCUACUAAUGUACUAAUUUUCUAUUUAACUUCCUCAUCCUCCUUGUUUUUGUUUCGCCUACUCGUAUAUUGGAACUUACCUGGAACCUCUUCAUUGUGGUAAAGUAAAUAUAAAUUUUAAAAACAUAUUUCUAGAAAUCUAGAAGUGUAUAUAAUGAUAAAAUUAAUCACCUUUAUAUCUGGAAUGUUUUGCUUGUUUAUUUAAUGAUUUAACACGGUGUCCGCCUCAUCAUCCGUCAAUUCCAAUAUAUGUAAGAUGAAUUAUAUAGGGAAUUCUAUAAUUAAAUGCACCUUUACCUCCUCAGCUUUACCGUGCAAGUAGAGUAUCUCUAGCCUACCGUCAUGCAUAAUUGUUCUUCUAAUUGCCAAAAGGUUAUAUUACUAUCAUCGAGCUUUAACCCAAAUAUAUGUCUCCUAGCAAAAAGUUGUAUCAUCCAACACUUCAUCAGAUUUCCCAUCGACUGAGUUCAGUAAGCUAGAUGUACUAAGCAAUAUUGCAGCCUCCUCGUUAUAUAAAUUGCAGUUUGUAGUAGCUAUGUUGUCACUGAUUUGGAGUCGAGUACGGUACCUACUGUACCAUUCAUAUUAGUCAAGAGUAAGUAUAAUAUAAUAGUUGUCCAUAUGAGUGAUAUGCUUACCUUGGUGUUACCCUUUUUUGAUAUAUACCACAACUCUUGCAAUAGUAUGUGUCAGUUUUCUUGGUAGCAAGUUUGUGACAAUCAUCACAUCACAUGUACCACCAUUAAAUAUCUUCUUGUAACUGAUCUAUUAUAGCUAUUGUUGUGAACACAAAAAUCUAAAUAUCUUAAAACCUCAAGAAAUUGAAAGACACAAAUAAUUCAACUAAAUCUCAUUAUAACUAAUAUUACAGGUCUCAGAGACUCGUUAUCCAGGAAGAGUGAUGAUAGCAUACAUUGGAACUCGUACCUGAUUUCUCCGGAUUCAUGUAUCACUCUAGUAAGUUCUUGUAAUGUUCUCUGCCUAUAAAACAUUUGUUCUUCUAGUGUUCCUUGAGUACUAUAUCUAUGCUGACCUUUUUAGUGAAAUUAUUUCUGCCGAGUGCCUAUGUGGAUUAAAUAAGAAUGGUUGAUCUUUGCUUCAGCUUGACUUUGAUGCAAGUACACUUAAGUUUUUAUCACAAUCAUUAUAAAUAUAAUAAGAGGUGCAGAUAUUUUUGUUGGCAUUGAAGGAUGUCAUGGAUCGGUUGCCUUCCUGGACCUCACAAUGUUGUUGCCUUCAAAACUAUCUUAAAAAGUAUUUGUUUACAGUGUAUGUAUGAAAGCUUAUUACAAAUUUAGACAUUUUUGUAGGAGAUUAGAAAUAGAAAUGAAGACUUGUUCAGAUGGAAACAUCUAAACACACAUGAGUCAGCAAAGAUAUUACCUAAAUUAAUUUGAUGGCUUGUUGUCUGCCUUCUUUUGAUGCUGGGUGCCAAGACGGCAAGACGUCACAGGAGCGUACUGGAUGCAUCGUGUCUUUGAUCCUCCGGCAUGACGGAAAGCAUACUGGAUAGCCUGCAGUCAUGGUUUCGAUCUACCGGGCGUUCGAGCAUAGCUUGUGUGUUCAAACCCAUCAUGUUUCAGCGCAUGCAUUGGGUGUUUUCUCUCCUUCAUGUGUUACGACAUCCUUGUAUAAUUGUGUUUGUAGAUGCCUAUGCUUGAAAGAAAUCAAUCAAGCCAUAUGAAAAUCAAGUAGAAAAUAAUUGACCAGAUUGUACUUUGCCUUUGAUAGACGUGCACGUGACGGACUUGUAUACAUCUAUCUAGGCAGGUUGACUGGUUCUAGUACAUGGAUGCCUAUAUGACGAUGAGUCCUGGCUUGCAUUGUAGUAGUAUACUUCUUGGGUCGCGCUAACUGUCACACGUGUGGUAGGAAGGGAGACGCACCACACAUCUCUAAUGUAAACAGAUUGCCAC